rnacentral:rRNA from 1 species
UGAGGAAUAUUGCUCAAUGGGCGAAAGCCUGAAGCAGCGACGCCGCGUGAGGGAUGAAAUCCGUUAGGAUGUAAACCUCUUUUCUGAGGGACGAAAAGGUCACUUUAAGUGACCGAUGACGGUACCUCAGGAAUAAGGAUCGGCCAACUACGUGCCAGCAGCCGCGGUAAUACGUAGGAUCCGAGCGUUGUCCGGAAUUACUGGGUGUAAAGGGUCUGCAGGCGGGAAAAUAAGUCGGUGGUGAAAUCCCAUAGCUCAACUAUGGAACUGCCUCCGAAACUAUUUUUCUUGAGUUCGAGAGAGGAUAAUGGAAUUCAUGGUGUAGCGGUGAAAUGCGUAGAUAUCAUGAAGAACACCAGUUGCGAAGGCGAUUAUCUGGCUCGAUACUGACGCUCAGGGACGAAAGCAUGGGGAUCAAACAGG